GUCAGCGUGGCGCAGUGGUUAGAGUGUUGGAUUAAUUCUUUGGGAGACCAGAGUUCGAAUCCCUGCCUUGCCA